AAUAAUUAAAGGCAAAUCCCGGGCAACCGGGACGCGCAAAGCCAAGGGUCCUUAAAAAAUGAUUACAGUGUCGCCCCUACGGCGACCCGCCGAUGAGGCGGGAUUUUAGCUGAGAUUACAGUGAUCAUAUAAGGGGACAGCCGGGCUGCCUGU
rnacentral:ncRNA from 1 species